rnacentral:rRNA from 1 species
GGUUUUUUGAUAAAAAAUAAAGAGAUUUAACCUGCCCACUGAAUUUAUUUAAAGGGCCGCAGUAAUUUGACUGUGCAAAGGUAGCAUAAUCAUUAGUCUUUUAAUUGGAGGCUGGAAUGAAUGGUUGGACGAGGUAAAGGCUGUUUUAUAUUAAAAAAUUGAAUUUUGAUUUUAAGUAAAAAGACUUAAAUAUAAUUAAGGGACGAGAAGACCCUAUAGAGUUUUAUAAGCAUAAUUUUAAUUAAGUUUAAUAUUAAUUUUUGGUUAUUAGAAAGCUUAUUUGGUUGGGGUGAUAAAAAGAUAUAUUAACUCUUUUUUAAUUUAAAUAUAAAUAAAUAGGAAAAUGAUCCAUAAUUAAUGAUUAAAAGAUUAAAUUACCUUAGGGAUAACAGCAUAAUUUCUUUAAAGAGUUCUUAUCAAAAAAGAAGAUUAUGACCUCGAUGUUGGAUUAAGAUAAAUUUUAGGUGUAGAUGCUUAAAUUAUUAGGUCUGUUCGACCUUUAAAAUCUUACA